UAACAAUUUUCAAGCUGGUUCAGGGAAAGAUUAUUAAAAAGCUGUGAAAAAUAUUCUUAAGUAUCUAAGAAGGACUAAAGAUGUUUUUCUUAUAUAUGGUGAAUUAGAGUUAAAACUAGAAGGGUAUAUAGAUUUUAGUUUUUAAUUUGAUUUAGAUGAUAGCAAGUCUAUAUCAGGAUAUGUGUUUAUGCUUAAUGGAGGAGCAGUG
rnacentral:lncRNA from 1 species